rnacentral:tRNA from 1 species
UGCCCUGUAGUUUAAUUGGCAGAACACCGGUUUUUGGUACCGAUAGUUGAGGUUCGAGUCCUUGCGGGGCAACUA